AGGACGAACGCUGGCGGCGUGCUUAACACAUGCAAGUCGAGCGGAAAGGCCCUUCGGGGUACUCGAGCGGCGAACGGGUGAGUAACACGUGAGCAACCUGCCCCUGGCUCUGGGAUAGCCUCCGGAAACGGGGAUUAAUACCGGACAUGACCCUUGACCGCAUGGUUGGGGGUGGAAAGUUUUUCGGCCAGGGUGGGGCUCGCGGCCUAUCAGCUUGUUGGGGGGGUAAAGGCCUACCAAGGCGACGACGGGUAGCC
rnacentral:rRNA from 1 species